UACAGAGGUCUCAAGCGUUGUUCGGAAUCACUGGGCUUAAAGGGCGCGUAGGCGGGCUGUCAAGUCUGGGGUGAAAUCCCGCGGCUCAACCGUGGAACUGCCUCAGAUACUGACGGCCUCGAGGGAGAUAGGGGCGAGCGGAACUAAUGGUGGAGCGGUGAAAUGCGUUGAUAUCAUUAGGAACUCCGGUGGCGAAGGCGGCUCGCUGGAUCUUUUCUGACGCUGAGGCGCGAAAGCUAGGGGAGCAAACGGG
rnacentral:rRNA from 1 species